rnacentral:rRNA from 1 species
GAUGAACGCUGGCGGUGUGCUUAACACAUGCAAGUCGAACGAAGCGCUUGGAUGGAAUUCUUCGGAAGGAAGCUCGAGUGACUGAGUGGCGGACGGGUGAGUAACGCGUGGGUAACCUGCCUCAUACAGGGGGAUAACAGUUAGAAAUGACUGCUAAUACCGCAUAAGCACACGUGAUCGCAUGAUCGAGUGUGAAAAACUCCGGUGGUAUGAGAUGGACCCGCGUCUGAUUAGCUAGUUGGUGGGGUAAUGGCCCACCAAGGCGACGAUCAGUAGCCGGCCUGAGAGGGUGAACGGCCACAUUGGGACUGAGACACGGCCCAAACUCCUACGGGAGGCAGCAGUGGGGAAUAUUGCACAAUGGGGGAAACCCUGAUGCAGCGACGCCGCGUGAAGGAUGAAGUAUUUCGGUAUGUAAACUUCUAUCAGCAGGGAAGAAAAUGACGGUACCUGACUAAGAAGCCCCGGCUAACUACGUGCCAGCCGCCGCCGUAA